rnacentral:rRNA from 1 species
UCGCCUCCUGCAACAAAACUACGUAUAGGAGGUCCAGCCUGCCCAGUGACUACAAGUUCAACGGCUGCGGUAUUUUGACCGUGCAAAGGUAGCGCAAUCACUUGUCUUUUAAAUAGAGACCUGUAUGAAUGGCCAAACGAGGGCUUAACUGUCUCCCCUUUCCAGUCAGUGAAAUUGAUCUGCCCGUGCAGAAGCGGACAUAAUAAUACAAGACGAGAAGACCCUUUGGAGCUUAAGGUACAAAACUCAACCACGUCAAGCAACUUAAUAAAAAGCAAAAACUUUGUGGAAUAUGAGACUUUACCUUCGGUUGGGGCGACCACGGAGGAAAACAAAGCCUCCAAGUGGAUUGGGAAAACCUCCUAAAACCAAGAGAGACAUCUCUAAGCCACAGAACAUCUGACCAAACAUGAUCCGGCCACCUAAAGCCGAUCAACGAACCAAGUUACCCUAGGGAUAACAGCGCAAUCCUCUCCCAGAGUCCAUAUCGACGAGAGGGUUUACGACCUCGAUGUUGGAUCAGGACAUCCUAAUGGUGCAGCCGCUAUUAAGGGUUCGUUUGUUCAACGAUUAAAGUCCUACGUGAUCUGA